rnacentral:misc_RNA from 1 species
GAGACAAUUGUGGCUCAGUGAGUCCCCGUCCGCGGUCGUGUGCGAAGGUCGCGCGCGAGUGUCCGUCCACCCGCCCGUCCUCGCCAGGUCGGAUCGUACACUGGAACCACCACAUUCCUGCCCGUCACGCCGGAGUGAGGUGACGUGUUGAAGUGUAACUAGCGAAGAUCCUGUGUACCGUUUGCUCUUGGAUAUAUUUGGAGGAGAAUAUAUACCUACGCCUUGGAGUAUUACACGCGUAUAUACCUGCGGUGGUGCCCCUCCCGAGUUUAGAGAAGCGGUCUGCGAGUGAACCGUGUACACGUCCACACGGGGAUAACGGAAGGGGGAGGAGGAGGAGGAGGAGGAGAGACAACCGCCACCUGCUCAUCGCCGUCGUCAGGCCCCGUCUCGCCGUAAACUAAGAGACGGGAGGUUACAGCGAGUUGCUGGUUCUGUCAACCAGCGUUGACGGAACCUCCACCCCACGAGACAGUACACCGCCAAGAGCCCUGAGGUGUUGAUCAACGAACCCAACCACCUUAAAAAAAAGAAGAAAAAAUAAUAAAGACAAAAAAAAAGAGGAAAACCAAACACAUUUAAGUGAAGGAGCAGACACCGGCCAGGCGAAGGUUUGGUCGCCACUGUCAACAACUAAGGCUGUUUGGGAGCGUCUUGAGAGAAUAAUUCCCUGCUGCGUCCCCGGGUGUCUCCCCCCACCACACCAAACGAACCUACGAGCCGCCCCUUCGACGAACUUGUGCAGGUCACAAGCCACAAAUACACUCACAAGUCUACACGAGGAACCUCGCCACCGACGACCUCAAUCUGGGCCACAUCCCGCAUCAUGGACUCGUGGUCACGCCGCAAGGCGGGUGUGGCGCGGGCCGUCGAGGGUGUGGUGAAGCGACGGAAGCACGUGGUCCUGGUGGGUCUAGACGGGUCUGGCAAGACCACAGUACUCACCAGACUCAAGUACCGCUGCUAUGUGGCCACCACUCCCACCAUUGGUUUCAACCACGAGAAGGUGUGGGGCGGAGGGUUCCGGUGGUCGUGUUGGGACGUGGGCGGCGGUGAGCGUCUCCGGCCGCUGUGGUCGUCCUACACCCGCGCCACCGACGGCAUCGUCUUCGUCGUCGACUCCGCCUCCCUGGGCGACAUGAUGGAGGAAGCCAGGGUCGAGUUGGCCAGAGUCCUCAAGAAGUCGCGCGCCUCCUCCGUCCAGCUGAGCGUCCCAACACCGCCUCUCCUCGUCCUGGCAAACUUCCAGGACCAGAUCCACGCCCGCUCCGCCCAGGCUGUGGCCACGAGCCUGGGUCUAGGGGAGGCGAUGGGCGUGGUGUGGGCGGUGGCUCCCGUCUGCGCCCUCACCGGAGAGGGACUGGACGACGCCAUGGCCACCCUCAGGACUCUCAUCGACAAGGUCCGGCAGGACUAUCGGAAGAGGGACCGGUGGCGCUGAACACGACCGACCUGCAGUCUUUCCCGGUCUAAGGGAAAUGGUUUUUCACCAGGUUGCUGCUAGAUGGGUUGAGGGGGAGGGUUGAGGGGGAGACACGGGGUGUCGUGCAGGGUGUAGCUGCCCUCAUCUGUCACAGUAACACCCGCACGGUACCACACCUCGGCUGCACAAAACUUGUGUGAUAACUCAUUAUCUGCCAGGAUUAUACGAGGUGCAAUUAUGGUGUUGACAGCUGACCGAGUGUUGUUACAAGCUGUAAAUACCGGCGGUACAAGAGAUCGCGUAAUUUACAGGAAGUUCGUGAUGCUUGUAUCGUCUGCAUGAUAUAUGUAUAAGCUGUACCAUACAUUUGUACCAGCUGUACCAAGGCUUUUCGAUACGAGUAUUUACAGAGUGUGAGAAUUAUACCAUGUACUUGAUUUAUUAUAUUAUGUAAGCUAAGAAGUGCUCGGGAGUCCUCUGGGGUGAUGCCAGGGAGUGAGGCAGUACACGGACCCCUCAACGUGCUCUCAGGUCACACGGUCUCAUGCCUCCCUUUCUCUGUGCACCAAAAAAAAAAAAAGUUCAUUUUCGCUGCGCUUUCUUCUUUUUUGUUAUGGACAUUUUGUUUUUUUUGUAUAAUCAAAAAGCUGCGGAAGACACUUUGGAGGAGGUGAUGUAUGACCACAAGAGGCUGGUGUAAGGGGGUACAGCAGGAGCCCCCCCCCCCCCGGCCAGGUCUUAACCCCCAUGUCAAGCUUGACACAGGGACCCCGUCAGACCGAACCACCCACACGCCCCUAUCACCCACUUCAAGCUACGUCCAUUUUAUGAUUGUAAAGCCUCAAUUUAUCUAUUUGCUGUAGAUCCUGGACACUCUUCACUAUUGUGUAAAUGCUCACAUAUAUUCAGAGAAUGUCAUAAAUAUGCUUACAGAACUGCGCUCUUCAAAUUUUUCGCGCCAAGCCUGCACUUGGCGCCCUUUUUUGAGUUUUAGCUUUGUAUGAUAAUUUUUGAACGAUGUUUACGCGAGUCUUGAAAAAAUGGCGCGCAAACCUGCUUCAAGACGUUACCAUGAAUAUCUCGCGUUCUCUAAUUUGUUCACAACAAUACAGGUCACAAAAACCCACAGACAUUUGAGGGUUAAUGUUGAGGAGUGUCAGGGACGGUUGGGAGUUCCUCCUUCCACAACUCUCCAGGAGCUUGUGGUGACGUCAUAUGUAAACAAAGUAGUAGCCAGGCGGGGAUUCUCCAAGGUGUAGUUUUAAUGUGUGGCCGAGGGUGGUCCCAAGGUGUGGCCGAGGGUGGUCCUAAGCUGUGACCGAGGCGGUCCCGAGGCUCGGCCAGACUGUUCUUGUGGUAAAAUGCAUUCUGUAGAGGAUUCUCUUCCUGAAAACCUGAGGUAAAACAUCUCAUGCUGUCCUUAGAAAUCCUGUACAAAUAUUAUGUCAUGGGGCCGUAUAGUGGUGAGUUAAUCAAAAGUAUCUGAAGGGUGUGGAAAUAUAUAUUCUUGUACAGUAUUGACUUAGGAAUUACAGAAUUAUAUAUAUGCAGUGUAGCAGGUUCAAAACCUAAAAUAUAUCUGCCAUUGUUGCAUUUCAGAUUGUAAGCUCAUCACAUUGAACUGUACACACACACAUCACGUACAAAAUUAAAUUAGUGCAUGACGUAGAUUUUUUGCAAGUUAGAAGUAGAGUUUUGUGUAGAAAGGACCCCAGCUAGCACGUAACUACAACGUUUUUUAAGCUUUAAAAAGAUUGUUCCAACGAUUAAACAAAGUCAAAAAUAGAGUGUGGGUCUCCGUCUGGACUGGAGACACGGGAGUGGUGGUCCCAAACCUUAGAAUCUCAAGGAUCUUCUGUUCCUCUGUUAAAUUAUUGCCAAAUCUGUUAGUUUUAGAAGUAUUAAGAGUUCUUAUUGAUUAUUUAUUUUUCAUGUAUAAAUAUACUUGUCGUUCCUCACUUUAUAUAUUUAAUAUGUAAUUGUUAACAUAUUCAGGCCUUUGUAUAGGUCUCUAUUUUUUUCUGACUGUAUGAAUUGUAUGGAAUUCAAAAUAAACAGUAUUAUGGU